UACGUAGGGGGCGAGCGUUGUCCGGAUUUAUUGGGCGUAAAGAGCUCGUAGGCGGUUUGGUAAGUCGGGUGUGAAAUCUCCACGCUCAACGUGGAGGGGCCACUCGAUACUGCCAUGACUCGAGUCCGGUAGAGGAGUGUGGAAUUCCCGGUGUAGCGGUGGAAUGCGUAGAGAUCGGGAAGAACAUCGGUGGCGAAAGCGCUCUACUGGACCGCAACUGACACUCAGGGACGAAAGCUAGGGGAGCGAAUGGG
rnacentral:rRNA from 1 species